AAAAACAUCAGUCGUCCAUUCGACAAUAGGCUACCCAUAGGAUUAUGGGUAGCCCACAUGUAAUCAUGCCUAAUCUUGUCCUCAAACUACACCUCUCACCUCCCACGCAUCCAUGUUUCCCCGGGGUGGGUGUGUGGGUGGUGGUAGUGGGGAGGUUUGGUUGUUCCGAUGACAAGUGCAUAAUACAUAUAGCAGAUUUAUGACAGACAAGGUGCUUGCUACAAAGACAAUUUCUUGAGUUUAAGAGUCCAAAUAAGUAAUAACACAACAUGCACAUUCAAAGUUGAAG